GACGAACGCUGGCGGCGUGCUUAACACAUGCAAGUCGAACGGAAAGGCCCUGCUUUUGUGGGGUGCUCGAGUGGCGAACGGGUGAGUAACACGUGAGUAACCUGCCCUUGUCUUUGGGAUAACUUCAGGAAACUGGGGCUAAUACCGGAUAGGAGCUCUUGCUGCAUGGUGGGGGUUGGAAAGUUUCGGCGGUUGGGGAUGGACUCGCGGCUUAUCAGCUGGUUGGUGGGGUAGUGGCUUACCAAGGCUUUGACGGGUAGCCGGCCUGGGAGGGUGACCGGCGACCAUGGGACUGAGAGACGGCCCAGACGCCUACGGGAGGCAACAGUCGGUAGUAUUGCACAAUGGGCGGAAGCCUGAUGCAGCAACGCCGCGUGCGGGAUGACGGCCUUCGGGUUGUAAACCGCUUUCGCCUGUGACGAAGCGUGAGUGACGGUAAUGGGUAAAGAAGCACCGGCUAACUACGUG
rnacentral:rRNA from 1 species